rnacentral:ribozyme from 14 species
CUUCUUUGUUUCUUUGUUUGAUUUUUUUGUUUUUGUUUUUGUUUUUGCUUUUGCUUGGUU